GGGACAUCACUUCAAUCUUAGUACCUCUUCCUCAAUCAUGGUUUCCUUUCGGGGAGUAUUAAGUCACAUAAAACAGGAAACUCUUUGGAAAAGCAGCCCAGAAAUUGUUUGGGGAAGAUAUAUUAAAUUAAAGUACAAGUUGGAUUGAGACAUAGAGACACUGAAGAAAGAACAGAUGCGUG
rnacentral:lncRNA from 1 species